GUGUCAGCAGCCGCGGUAAUACGUAGGUGGCGAGCGUUGUCCGGAUUCAUUGGGUUUAAAGGGUGCGUAGGCGGCCCAAUAAGUCAGUAGUGAAAUACCCCAGCUUAACUGGGGGGGUGCUAUUGAUACUGUAGGGCUUGAGUACAGACGAGGUAGGCGGAAUUGACGGUGUAGCGGUGAAAUGCUUAGAUAUCGUCAAGAACACCGAUAGUGUAGACAGCUUACUAGACUGUAACUGACGCUGAGGCACGAAAGUGUGGGGAUCAAACAGGAUUAGAUACCCCCGUAGUCC
rnacentral:rRNA from 1 species